rnacentral:tRNA from 1 species
GGUGCCGUAGCCUAGUAGUUAAGGCGAUAGACUAGAAAUCUUUAGGGAUAUUCCCGCGCAGGUUCGAAUCUUGCCGACGAUG